rnacentral:lncRNA from 1 species
CAGUGGUAUGACUGUUAAGGCAGUAACCAACUAGGAUCUAAUUGGAUUUGAGGCCUAGUCUGCAGGAUAGGAUUCUGUUCAGAAGUUGAAGGGUGGAUUGGAGGCCCUGGCGGAGAACCGACUACUGUUUUUCUGCUAACCAUUCUAACUGCCUUCUAAAUAUUUGUUAUGCCCAUAUUUAGUGUACUCUCUACUUGAUCAGAGAAGCCUUAAGUCAGGGUGAGCUUUAGUUCUUUCAGCAGUGAGUAUUAUCCUUACCAGUUCUUUCCGGACUUAACAAAACAGGCACUAUGCUGGCUGUGUUGUUUCAGGCCUUGGGAGGCUGAAGCAGGAAGAUUUCAAGCCCAGCACCAGCUUGGGCAACUGAUUGAGACCCUGUUUUUAAAAGAGCUGGGAUGGUGGUGGCAAGAUGGCUUAGUGGUUACAAGCACUUGCUAUUCUUGAAGAGGACUCUGGUUCACGCUCCAGCACCCACAUGGUGACUUAACACACAUCAAAACAAAAUUUAAA